rnacentral:rRNA from 1 species
UACGAAGGGGGCUAGCGUUGCUCGGAAUCACUGGGCGUAAAGGGUGCGUAGGCGGGUCUUUAAGUCAGGGGUGAAAUCCUGGAGCUCAACUCCAGAACUGCCUUUGAUACUGAGAGGCUUGAGUCCGGGAGAGGUGAGUGGAACUGCGAGUGUAGAGGUGAAAUUCGUAGAUAUUCGCAAGAACACCAGUGGCGAAGGCGGCUCACUGGCCCGGUACUGACGCUGAGGUGCGAAAGCGUGGGGAGCAAACA